rnacentral:lncRNA from 1 species
UAUGAAGCUCACUCUGAUAUUCUAAACUUUGAUGUAAAUGUUCAACCUUAAAAGUUCAGGUAACUCAAACAAAACAGCUGUUCAGGAGAGAAGAUAUUGAAUCGAUUUGAUAAUUAUAACAUUUUCUUUUUUUCAUGUAAGAUGUUACAGAGGCUUGGGACGGCAAAAAUGUUCAUGUUCUGCUGUCCAGAUUCGGACCAUACAAGCUGUUCUAUUGGGACAUCUGUAGGACAACUCCGGGUCAGGAACUUGAGAGUGAGGUAAGCUUCAGUAUUUUAUUCUCCUUUAGUUAACUCAUAUAACAAAGAAAUCUCCAAAUGCUAGUACACCAUAAGUUAACUGACUUCAUUUUCAAAUGGAUUUGCUUUCCCCAGGUGAUCAAUGCCACCCUGUUCAGAAUGGUCCAGAAGCACAAUUGCCAAGGGGGGAAAAAGGCACUUUGCAUUGAUACAUAUGCCAUGACCAAAAUUUGGAACAGGAAGACUUCAAUUCUAAGGAAGUGUGAUCCUUCAUUGUAUGGAGUCAUUCUGGGGGUAGUGAAUGAGCCAAAUCAUUGGAUACUCACAGUAAGUUAAACAUUAUCUUACGCUAUGUAUUCAUAUUUAAAUUUCCAAGGCACAUCCAUGAUUUUAUUAGGAUAUGUGAAUGUGACACAUGCACAAUGUGCUUAUCUACAUUUCUCUAGGUCAUCUUCCCCUCAGUCUUCUACUUUUCAGAGCAUUCAUGAGAGCGAGGGGCUGUACGGUGUCCAGGUGGAAAGCCAACACUGUGCCACAUAGCCUGCAGCAGGAUUCCACUUCAUGUGGAAUAUUUGCCAUCAAAGUAAGUUUUUGAAUUGCAUAUUUCUUUACGGAAACAUGAAGCAGAUUUUGAAAAGGUCUCCUUUUCAACAUUUAAACUCCUAGAGAGACAUAAAGUUGAUGAAUUUUGAUUAAGUUAAACUGGGCCAGUAUGUUUUGAAUAUUCAUUUAUUCAAACAUGUUCGUAGUAUGCUGAGAAAGUCCUGGCAGAGGAGUCUCCUACUUUCCCAAACACUGAAGGGGCAGUGGUUAAUUACAGGAGGGAAAUUGCUAGCACUUCUCAAUGAGACUGGUAUGUU